CCUACGGGUGGCAGCAGUGAGGAAUAUUGGUCAAUGGACGAGAGUCUGAACCAGCCAAGUAGCGUGAAGGAUGACUGCCCUAUGGGUUGUAAACUUCUUUUAUAUGGGAAUAAAAUGUUCCACGUGUGGGCUUUUGUAUGUACCAUAUGAAUAAGGAUCGGCUAACUCCGUGCCAGCAGCCGCGGUAAUACGGAGGAUCCGAGCGUUAUCCGGAUUUAUUGGGUUUAAAGGGAGCGUAGGUGGAUUGUUAAGUCAGUUGUGAAAGUUUGCGGCUCAACCGGAAAAUUGCAGUUGAAACUGGCAGUCUUGAGUACAGGAGAGGUGGGCGGAAUUCGUGGUGUAGCGGUGAAAUGCUUAGAUAUCACGAAGAACUCCGAUUGCGAAGGCAGCUCACUGGACUGCAACUGACACUGAGGCUCGAAAGUGUGGGUAUCAAACAGGAUUAGAUACCCGAGUAGUC
rnacentral:rRNA from 1 species